rnacentral:rRNA from 1 species
AGCGUUGCUCGGAAUCACUGGGCGUAAAGGGUGCGUAGGCGGGUUUUUAAGUCAGGGGCGAAAUCCUGGAGCUCAACUCCAGAACUGCCUUUGAUACUGAAGAUCUUGAGUUCGGGAGAGGUGAGUGGAACUGCGAGUGUAGAGGUGAAAUUCGUAGAUAUUCGCAAGAACACCAGUGGCGAAGGCGGCUCACUGGCCCGAUACUGACGCUGACGCACGAAAGCGUGGGGAGCAAACAGG